UACGGAGGGGGCAAGCGUUGUUCGGAAUCACUGGGUGUAAAGGGUGCGUAGGCGGUCCGUUAAGUCUGAUGUGAAAGCCCUGGGCUCAACUCAGGAAUUGCAUUGGAAACUGGCGGGCUGGAGUACGGGAGAGGGAAGCGGAAUUCCUGGUGUAGCGGUGAAAUGCGUAGAUACCAGGAGGAACACCGGUGGCGAAGGCGGUUUCCUGGCCCAGUACUGACGCUGAGGCACGAAAGCGUGGGGAGCAAACAGG
rnacentral:rRNA from 1 species